GGCGAAUUAAGAGAGUGGCUGCAGAGUAGAAAGAAUUGAGACCAAAAGAGAGAGACAUGAUGAGGAGCAACCAGAUGGUUUUGGCACUAAUUACGGUGUCAAUUUGCUUCUUUGCUGCCCAUUCCUUCCACUCAUCGGAGCUUAAUUCCGCACUAAACCAUGAAGGUUUUGGAGGAAAAAGCAACGGCCAGCCAUGGCCAUGCUGCGAUAACUGCGGCAUAUGCACAAGAUCUAAUCCGCCUAUAUGCUCGUGCCAAGAUUUGGUGUUGUCUUGCCAUCCUGAGUGCAAGAAAUGCGUCCGGUCGCUGCAUCUUAUCUACCCUCCCCGCUACGUAUGCAUGGACCGCAUUGUCAACUUCUGCGAGCACAAGUGCCAUUCCAAGUAACCUCAUAGCUGCUUGCAGCAGCAUCCACAAAGACCGUGCAUGUAGCUAAGAAGCUGCUAUCUGUUUAUCUGCAUGGCUUAUAUUCCCUAUGCUUUUGAUCAUCCUGUCAUGAUGUGGUGCUUCAUCUCUUUGCAUCAGAUGUGUCAUCAUCAAAUGUAUUGAGGUGCAUGCCAUGUAUAAUAAACUUGAAUAAUAAUCUUUAGUGGUGGUUUGAUUAA